UUUGUGAAGUUCAUGUUUAUAUAGCUGUGGUAUUUUAUCCACAUGUAUUUUGCACACAUUGUCUAGUUUGAUCUUCGCAGAUUUGGAAUGUAAGCAGCACAAAUACAUUUGGGUUUUGUUUUGUUUUUAAUAGCUGAAGAAAUUGAAGCUUUUGAGUGAUGAAGUGAUAAGGUCACAGCUAUGAUGUGUUCUGGAGCCAAUACUCAAACCAGGUUGUCUGCCUCCAACUGUUUUCUACUAUACUGCUCCGUCUUUGUGAGAAGUUUUGUUGUAUUCUGGGUGUGUUGUCUUGCCAAUUAGUGUGUAAGCAUUGCAAAGGUAGGGUUUCUAGUGCUAUCCUUGCCUCCAUAUUGGCUGGGUAAAAUACACAAUGCUGCAUUCAGUAGGUAUUCAAAUGUUUGGCUGACUGGAUUGACUCUUUACCCUCUGUUCUAAGCAUUCAGCAUCUGGUUCCAGACAGAAGAUAUGUGUUGGAAUAAGAAUCUAUAAGAUUAGUUUUUGUCUACUGCCAUGGAGGUGAAUGAGUUUGGCAAUAAGCAUUGCAUUGCUAUCUUGGCCUACCUGGAUAAAGAGGAAAAAGAAAGUUGUUCCUUUGUUCCCAAAGAGGACCGAUGACAACAAGAGGGUGAUGUUUUGACUUACAAGUGAAUUAAUUGUAUUUUAAGUGAGACCAAGCUGUGCAAUCAAAAGCCCUACUCUCUAAUAUUGGAGUCCAGUCAGGACAACUGGCAGUGGUGCAAGAUGCAAGGAGGAAAAGAAGAACGAGAAGGGGGAAAAAAAGAUGUAUAAAAUGAAAAGGAGAACAUAAAGAUGAAUGGAAAGAGAAGAAAAAACCCCAGCUGGGAGCAAUGAGUGACAGAAGAGCUUGCCUGAAGCUAUAGAGGGAGUGCCUACUUCAUAACUACAGGCCUGCCCUUGUGUAUUACCUGCAGCGCCCAGUGAAACUAGCUGCGGUCUAUUUUCUCAGCCAAAGCUACUCAUCUAUCCCCAAGAGCUGCAGGCAGUGCCUAAUGGGGAAUCUCCUCCAUGAGAAACUAGAUCAGCAUUUUCCUGCCUCCUUUCUCCGGUGACUGAGGGAAGGAGAAAGAAGGUUGUACCUGUGUGGUAGAUGAAGUGGAAGAACAGACUGUCAAAUUGUUACUCUCUUUAAUUUCCCGGCAUUUCUAAAAGCAAUAUUCUGCUACUGUAUUUAAUCCUCCAACAGCGAGUGUGUAGGGGGGGGCGGGGGGAAGGAUGGAGUUGGAGCCUGGGGUAAUGUAUCCAGAAGUAAUAGAUAUGAAGAAGGCAAUUAGUAUGAAAGAUGUAGGUCUUGCAAUAACGUAGCCAUUUGAAAAUUGUAUUUUCCUUUAAUUAGUUUAUUAAAACAUCAUCGAAGCACCUGCCCUUUCGUCUCUCCCCAGGAGCUUCGAGACAUUUUUCAAUAAUA